rnacentral:lncRNA from 1 species
CAGAAUUGUAACAUAUCCCUGGCUGAGCACUCAGGUGAUGUGACACUCCUGCUUGGCUUCUUCCCUCAGAGAAGAUUAUGAGAUAUCCAUGGCUGAAAUCCAGGGGGAAUUGUGACAUAUCACUUGGCCCAGUACCAAGCAGACCUUAAAGGCACUGUGACGUAUUGCUCGGCUCAGCAACAAGGUGACGAGAGAUCCUGUGUGGACAUUGACAACAGACAGCAUUGUGACAUAUCUUUGGGAGCAUCAGCUAUUUGAUGUGACUCUCCUUUUAUACCAAGGCUUUGCUCAUAGGGGAGAUCGUGAUGUAUCUUCUGGCCCAGAAAUCAGGCAAUGUGUUUCUCCUGCCUGAGCUUUGCUCACAGGGAGCAUUGUGACAUAUCACUGAGCCCAGCACCCAGGUGAUGGGACUCUACUGCCUGUCCCCUGCUUUCAGGAGGAAAUUGUAACAUAUCUCUGACCAAGCACCCAGGUGAUAAGUCUUCUGCCUGGUGCCUGUUCUCAGGGAAGAUUGUGACAUAUCCCUGGCCCAGCACCCAGAUGAUGCAGAUGACGUAUCUCUC